rnacentral:piRNA from 1 species
UAUAGCACGGGUGUCUCUGGAAGU